rnacentral:rRNA from 1 species
ACGCUCGACACCUACGGGAGGCUGCAGUCGGGAAUAUUGCGCAAUGGAGGAAACUCUGACGCAGUGACGCCGCGUAUAGGAAGAAGGUUUUCGGAUUGUAAACUAUUGUCGUUAGGGAAGAAAAAAGACAGUACCUAAGGAGGAAGCUCCGGCUAACUACGUGCCAGUAGCCGCGGUAAUCUGAGCGGGCUGGCAAGGC